UAAAAUGACUCUCGGCAACGGAUAUCUCGGCUCUCGCAUCGAUGAAGAACGUAGCGAAAUGCGAUACUUGGUGUGAAUUGCAGAAUCCAGCGAACCAUCGAGUCUUUGAACGCAAGUUGCGCCCGAAGCCUUCGGGCUAAGGGCACGUCUGCCUGGG
rnacentral:rRNA from 1 species